AUGGAUGUUGACUACAACCCAACAGGAUGGGAAUUUGUUACAAGCCACUUUUGCAGAUCCAGAUUCACACGUGGAUCUUCAAUUAUAAUGAUGAUCAUAGCAGGGAGAUAUACCAUACUAAGAGCAUGCAAAGUCUGCACACCCCUGAUGGGCAUACUGUUGUUAGUUCAACCAAUAAGCACUGAUGUAGAAAUAUCAAGUUCGGAAGAGCACAAAACAAUAAAACAGUUGAUUAAGGCUUCACUUGUUUGCUCUCAAAAAGAUACUUUAGAAGAAUCUAUUCAGUUGUUUCUUGAAAAAGUUCUGCAUGUGGCAAAAGAUGCGGUGGCAAAGAUUUCAAAUGAAGCGAACCGAUGCAUAAAUAUUUUGUUGGCAAAAUAA
rnacentral:rRNA from 1 species